AAGCGGUGGAGCAUGUGGUUAAUUCGAAGCAACGCGAAGAACCUUACCAAGGCCUUGACAUGACAGAGAACUUCAGAGAUGGAUUGGUGCCUUCGGGAACUCUGACACAGGUGCUGCAUGGCUGUCGUCAGCUCGUGUCGUGAGAUGGUUGGGUUAAGUCCCGUAACGAGCGCAACCCUUGUCCUUAGUUACCAGCACGUUAUGGUGGGCACUCUAAGGAGACUGCCGGUGACAAACCGGAGGAAGGUGGGGAUGACGUCAAGUCAUCAUGGCCCUUACGGCCUGGGCUACACACGUGCUACAAUGGUCGGUACAAAGGGUUGCCAAGCCGCGAGGUGGAGCUAAUCCCAUAAAACCGAUCGUAGUCCGGAUCGCAGUCUGCAACUCGACUGCGUGAAGUCGGAAUCGCUAGUAAUCGUGAAAUCAGAAUGUCACGGUGAAUACGUUCCCGGGCCUU
rnacentral:rRNA from 1 species